rnacentral:ncRNA from 1 species
AUCUCACGUUGAGGAUAAGGCCAAAAGCUCAAUUUACUGUGCCUUUUUGUACUAAGAUCAGUUACGAAAGUAAGGCCUAACGAUCCCUAAAUAGCUCAGGUGCGUGAGGAUUGGGGUGACAGACAAGUUACCUCCGGGACAACUGGCUUGUGGCUGCUAAGAGAUCAAAUCAACGCAGCUUUUUGAUUCUUCGAUGUCGGCUCUUCCUAUCCUAGUGAUGUACAAGUUGCUAAGGGUCGGAUUGUUCACCCGUAUUAGGGAUCGUGAGCUGGGUUUAGACCGUCGUGAGCCAGGUUUGUUUUAUCCUACUGGAUAUAGCAUCAUGAUAGUAGAUUGAUUUAGUACGAGAGGAACUGUUGAUUAUGGCCUCUGGUUAGCGAUUAUCGGAAACGGUAUGUCGCGCAGCUACGCCGUCUGGGAUAAUGGCUGAAAGCCUCUUAAGCCAGAAGCCCAUCUAGAAAGUGAUGCACGUGAUGUUGGACCGAUACGAAUAAUCAUACUCAAAAGGUCCGCUUCAUAGGUAACCCAAUGUAGAAGACAUUGUGUGAACGAAGGUACUGUAAGCAGUGGAGUGGCAUUACGUCCACGACCUGUUGAGGUUCAGCUUCGCUUCUAGGUUUCC